GUUUGAUCAUGGCUCAGGAUGAACGCUGGCGGCGUGCUUAACACAUGCAAGUCGAACGUGAACCCAAUUUCGGUUGGGGGAAAGUGGCGAACGGGUGAGUAACACAUUGGUGACCUGCCCCGCGGAGGGGGAUAACACCUCCAAAGAGGCGCUAAUACCCCGGAGGUCUUCCUUUUGGAGAGGGAGCGACUAAAGGGCAAAUCCCCCUCGGGAGGGGCCUGCGGGCUAUCAUCUAGUUGGGGGGGUAAAGGCUCACCAGGGCGAAAACGGCUAGGGGGCGUGAGAGCGUGGCCCCCCACAAUGGAACUGAGACACGGUCCAUACUCCUACGGGAGGCAGCAGUGAGGAAUAUUGCCCAAUGGGGGAAACCCUGAAGCAGCCACGCCGCGUGAACGAUGACGGCCUUCGGGUUGUAAAGUCCUUUUCUGGGGGAAGAUGAUGACUGUACCCCAGGAAUAAGUCCCGGCUAAGUACGUGCCAACCACCGCGGUAUAACGUACGGGGCGAGCGUUAUCCUCAUUUACUGGGCGUAAAGCUCCCGCAGGCGGCUGGUCAAGUUGGACGUGAAAGCUCCCGGCUUAACUGGGAGAGGUCGUACAACACUGACCGGCUAGAGGCUGAAAGAGUAGAUCAGAAUUCCCGGUGUGGUGGAGGAAUGCGUAAUAUCGUGAGGAAUACAGUGUGCAAAGCGACUCUCUGGAUCACAGCUGACGCUGAUGUGCGAAUGCGCGGGGAGCGAACGUGAUUAUAUACUCUGUUACUCUCGCCAUAAACGAUUGAUACUGCUCGUUGGGGUAAUCUCCCUCCCCCUGUGCCGAAAGCUAACACGAAAAGUAUUCCGCAGGGGACUACGGCCGCGUGUUAAAG
rnacentral:rRNA from 1 species